rnacentral:tRNA from 1 species
GAUAAGGUGCCUGAUAAAAGGACUAUCUUGAUAGGAUAGAUAAUGUAGUAAAUACCCUUGUUA